GGGGGCGACCUGGAUUCGACGUGGAUUUCAAAGCAGCGCAGGGCAUACCGAGGACCAGUCACCUCGUAAAUCCAUCUGGAAACGCUAUAAACGCGAACGACGAACGUUUCGCACUCGCCGCCUAAACACCGGCGAGCCCUGCCCCGGUUCGCUCACGGACCGGCUAGCGCAAGCUAGAGCAGGGUCAUUCACGUGAGAUCGCGUCUUGCAGGGUCACUUUGCUCGACGUCAAACAAUAGGUGACUCGCCG
rnacentral:tmRNA from 1 species